AGUGAACGCUGGCGGUAGGCCUAACACAUGCAAGUCGAACGGCAGCACAGGAGAGCUUGCUCUCUAGGUGGCGAGUGGCGGACGGGUGAGGAAUACAUCGGAAUCUGCCCAGUCGUGGGGGAUAACGUAGGGAAACUUACGCUAAUACCGCAUACGACCUUCGGGUGAAAGAGGGGGAUCGCAAGACCUCUCGCGAUUGGAUGAGCCGAUGUCGGAUUAGCUAGUUAGCGGGGUAAUGGCCCACCAAGGCGACGAUCCGUAGCUGGUCUGAGAGGAUGAUCAGCCACACUGGAACUGAGACACGGUCCAGACUCCUACGGGAGGCAGCAGUGGGGAAUAUUGGACAAUGGGCGCAAGCCUGAUCCAGCCAUACCGCGUGGGUGAAGAAGGCCUUCGGGUUGUAAAGCCCUUUUGUUGGGAAAGAAAUCUUUCAGGCUAAUACCCCGGGAGGAUGACGGUACCCAAAGAAUAAGCACCGGCUAACUUCGUG
rnacentral:rRNA from 1 species